rnacentral:rRNA from 1 species
GUGCCAGCCGCCGCGGUAAUACCGGCAGCCCGAGUGAUGGCCGAUCUUAUUGGGCCUAAAGCGUCCGUAGCUGGGUCAGAAAGUCCAUCGGGAAAUCCACUCGCUCAACGAGUGGCCGUCCGGCGGAAACUCCACACCUUGGGACCGGAAGGCUCGAAGGGUACGGCCGGGGUAGGAGUGAAAUCCUGUAAUCCCGGACGGACCACCGAUGGCGAAAGCACUUCGAGAAAACGGAUCCGACAGUGAGGGACGAAAGCUACGAUCGCGAACCGGAUUAGAUACCCCUGUAGUCC